UACGUAGGGCGCAAGCGUUAUCCGGAAUUAUUGGGCGUAAAGAGCUCGUAGGCGGUUUGUCGCGUCUGCUGUGAAAACUCGGGGCUUAACCCCGGGCCUGCAGUGGGUACGGGCAGACUAGAGUGCGGUAGGGGAGACUGGAAUUCCUGGUGUAGCGGUGAAAUGCGCAGAUAUCAGGAGGAACACCGGUGGCGAAGGCGGGUCUCUGGGCCGUAACUGACACUGAGGGACGAAAGCUAGGGGAGCGAAUGGG
rnacentral:rRNA from 1 species